rnacentral:tRNA from 1 species
GGUGGCUCAGUGGUAGAGUGCUUGCCUUGCAUGCAUGAGGAGCUGGUUCGAUUCCUUAGCACCA